rnacentral:rRNA from 1 species
CCUACGGGAGGCAGCAGUGGGGAAUAUUGCACAAUGGGGGAAACCCUGAUGCAGCGACGCCGCGUGAGUGAAGAAGUACUUCGUUAUGUAAAGCUCUAUCAGCAGGGAAGAAAAUGACGGUACCUGAGUAAGAAGCCCCGGCUAACUACGUGCCAGCAGCCACGGUAAUACGUAGGGGGCGAGCGUUAUCCGGAUUUACUGGGUGUAACGGGAGCGUAGACGGCAGUGCAAGUCUGGAGUGAAAGGCGGGGGCUCAACCCCCGGACUGCUCUGGAAACUGUACGGCUGGAGUGCAGGAGAGGUAAGUAGAAUUCCUAGUGUAGCGGUGAAAUGCGUAGAUAUUAGGAGGAACACCAGUGGCGAAGGCGGCUUACUGGACUGUAACUGACGUUGAGGCUCGAAAGCGUGGGGAGCAAACAGGAUUAGAUACCCUAGUAGUC